GUCAUAGGUUUUCGUUUCCAGCGUGCUGCAAAUGUUUCUGCCGAAAAGAUGUUAAUACCGGAGAUAUUCAUGCUUUAGAAGUUUCCGAGGAAGAUGCAUGAAAGGCUAAUGAAGAUUUAUUAUUUGCAACUCAACUGUUACACAAUCAUCAAGCAUCAUUAGUUCAACAACAAGAUAAAGCUGUUAUUACAAA